AAUACAUCGGGACCUACCUAGACGUGGGGGAUAACGUAGGGAAACUUACGCUAAUACCGCCAUACGUCCUACGGGCGAAAGCGGGGGAUCUUCGGACCUCGCGCGGUUAGACGGCCGAUGAUUCGAUUAGCUAGUUGGUGGGGCUAACGGCUUACGGAAGGCGACGAUCGAUAGCUGGUCUGAGAGGAUGAUCAGCCACACUGGGACUGAGA
rnacentral:rRNA from 1 species